GGGGUGAGGUGUUGCACAGACACGGGGUGAUUUACCUGCUCGUGCAGGGAGCCAGCGGCAGUGCCAGAAAUAAUGCCUUGAAAUGCUACAGAGCUCUUGGAAACCAGAAGGGUAGCACCCGGCUGCUGGAGCAUGUCUUGUGUGGACUCGGAGAAGAGAAGUCUGUUGAAAUGGCUGCCUCGUCCCGAGCUUUCAGCCACUGUCGCAGUAAGGGAUGGAAGGAAAGCCAGAGAAGCUCUGAUCUCUCGGUGGAGAGACAGGAGGCUGGAAAGGUGCUCCCUGCAUGCUGGCAAAGUGGAGCGAGACAGAACUCGGAGACAUC